CGGAUCGGUACUCGGUAUUGGCCACUACGCAAGUUCAGGUAUCGGAAUCGGUAUCGUGAGGGAAAAAAUGGUAUCAGACCUUCUCUAAUUACAGUUAUUACAGU